GUUACUGAAUAUCUUUUGUUUGUGAACAAAACAAGAAUAUCACCUUGGCUCUUGGAAGCAUCUUUUUGAACAUUUUUUGGCAUUUCAUUAAUGAAAAAACCUGCAUUCAUUAGCUGCAGCUCUAAAAUUUUUAGAUCAGAUUAAUAAUUUCAAGCACAAAGUUACAUUUUUCAGCCUCUCACAAUGUAAAGUUUAUGUUUUUCAUGACAAUAAUCUAAAUAUCAGGUCAACUGGUCUCAAAUUAGCACCUCUGCUCCAGGAUAUUCAAUGCAUUCAAACCCUGGAGUGAGAUAGAAAUUCGACAUGAGAGCAAAGCAGGAAAACACUCUGUUAAAGUUUAAAUAUUAUUAUUAUUACUGGGGUUAAAAUAUGUUACGAGCCAUUUGGGGUAUAGGCAAACUGACUGAAUUUUAGUGGUUCAUGUCUCUCUGCUGGGCUGUAAAGACACGCAAUUGCAGCCUUGAAAAAAAUAGAUCCAGUCAGAGUCCACAGCGAGGGAGACGAGGUGGAAUAUAAAGGAACAGUCCGUGUUCAGCCACGGAUAGGGAAUUUUUUUGGACGGGAAUCAAAUGGAUAUUUUAGUGGCCGAGCCAACAAAGCAUGGGGAUCUUGUGCUGCCACUGCUGCCGAACCCUGGGUCGACCCGGCCGACCCCUGACCCUGAGACUCCCUCUUCUGAGAGAUGGACAACUUCUUCUUCCGAGGUCGCCCCUUCAGGUUGGGAGCUGAGGGAAGGGAAACAGUGUCAACGAGAUUUAUCCAUUUAGGAGGAAAUCUGUGCUCUCAUGCAGCACAGUCUCUGUGUACUUCCACCUCUUUGUCUCCGACAUCUUAAUAAACUAAACAAAACAGA